rnacentral:lncRNA from 1 species
GGUUCACUUGAAAUUUUCAUCAUUUUCACUACAGAUUCAGAAUUUUGUCAAUUCAUGAAAGUUUUAGAUAUUUGUCUUAGCUUUCAUUUGGUAUAUCUUAGGCCUAAUUUCAAUAUAUACACAAUAAGUUAUGAAGUUAGUAACACAAGCUGUCCUGUUACAACCUAUUCUGCCAGAUUUACACUUUUAGCUCCCAUGUUAAAUUUCUUUACUCUAAGCCUUUCAAACAUCAUUUUAACAUUCAUAUCACAUAUUUAUACAAUCAAAGCAACAUUUUCAGCAAGUAAAAUCAACCUCUAAUUUCACUUAUUCAUGGCAGAAUCAAAGGAAAACAGAAAAUCAUUAAAACACCAAACCUUUCUUGAAUUCUUCUUUUCUUUUCCUCUUCUAAUCUCUAGCUAUCUCCUUUCCCUUUGAUGUUCCUUCACCUAUGCCAAUUUAUAUCUUAGGGAAGGAUUGAAUAAAUUGUAAAUUAAAGCUUUAUAAUUCAAAUUCAUGCAUGAAGAAAUGAGAUGAUGCUAUUUCCUACUCAUUUCUAAGCUUACCUUGAUUUUCAAGCUUGGUGUAUAUGGAACCCUAAACUUUUCUUCUUCAAAUCCUUCACUAUAUGGCUGUUCCUUUAGCUCCUGGUCUUAGGAUAAAUUUUGGUUAAAGGAAGAAGUUGAUUUGGUGAAGUUUUGGCUUGGCUUUGGUGGGAGAAAGAAAAGCAAAUUCUUUUUCUUUGAAAAUGGGUGACCUACGGCAAUUUGGAGGAAGAAAGAAGAUGACAACCCUUUUCAUUUUGCAUGGUCAUUUCUCCUUUCCUUAGUUAGGUGACACAUGGAAAGGUAAAUAUGAAUUUUAUGUUUUAACUUUUUA